GGCUGCCGUGCUCCUGAUCCUAGCGGUCGCGGCGGUCGUACCCGUACGGGCAGCAGCGGCGCCGGUAAAGGGGCAGCUAGCGGUGGAGUUCGACCUGAUUGACCUUUCCGUUGCGGAGAACCAAAUACUCCUCCGAGUGAAUCUCCGGUGUCGUUUCACCCAUUUGGUCCAGGGGAGGAUGUUGACGUUAUAUGUCAUAUAUCAUCGUCUCAGGUGUAUGCCGUACCG
rnacentral:rRNA from 1 species